rnacentral:rRNA from 1 species
GACGAACGCUGGCGGCGUGCCUAAUACAUGCAAGUAGAACGCACAGUUUAUACCGUAGCUUGCUACACCAUAGACUGUGAGUUGCGAACGGGUGAGUAACGCGUAGGUAACCUGCCUGGUAGCGGGGGAUAACUAUUGGAAACGAUAGCUAAUACCGCAUAAUAUUGAUUAUUGCAUGAUAAUUAAUUGAAAGGUGCAAUUGCACCACUACCAGAUGGACCUGCGUUGUAUUAGCUAGUAGGUGAGGUAACGGCUCACCUAGGCGACGAUACAUAGCCGACCUGAGAGGGUGAUAGGGCAAACUGGGACAAGGACAGGGGCCAGACUCAUACAGGAAGCAGCGGUAGGGGAUGUUCGAGGAUGGACGAAAGUCUGACCGAGCAAGGCCGCGUGAGUGAAGAAGGUUUUCGGAUCGUAAAGCGCUGUUGUAAGAGAAGAACGGGUGAGAGAGUGGAAAGUUCACACUGUGACGGGAUCUUACCAGAGAGAGACGGCUAAAUACGUG